rnacentral:rRNA from 1 species
UACGGAGGGUGCAAACGUUGCUCGGAAUCAUUGGGCGUAAAGCGCACGUAGGCGGCCCAGCCAGUCGGGUGUGAAAGCCCUCGGCUUAACCGAGGAAGUGCAUUCGAAACUACUGGGCUUGAGUACUGAAGAGGAUCGCGGAAUUCCCGGUGUAGAGGUGAAAUUCGUAGAUAUCGGGAGGAACACCAGUGGCGAAGGCGGCGAUCUGGGCAGAUACUGACGCUGAUGUGCGAAAGCGUGGGGAGCAAACAGG